GCAAACUUGGUCAUUUAGAGGAAGUAAAAGUCGUAACAAGGUUUCCGUAGGUGAACCUUCGGAAGGAUCAUUACCAUAACGCGGUCGCCCCGUGAUCCCCCCUUCUCCAAUUGCUGGGGGGUUAGGGCGGCCACACGCGUUCUUACCACCCUUGAUUUUGAGCACCUUCAUGUUUCCUCGGCAGGGACGCCUGCCAGCGAGGACCCCCAAAAAACUUUUUGCAGUUUGCAGUAUUUGUCUGAAAACAAACAUAAUAAUCAAAACUUUCAACAAUGGAUCUCUUGGUUCUGGCAUCGAUGAAGAACGCAGC
rnacentral:misc_RNA from 1 species